CAAUGGGGCCGUCCGAAUGCUCGGACACAAAAGAAAACGGAUGCGGCACCAAUUGAAUUACAAUGGUUUUAAUGCCGAAUCUGUCCUGGCUAUUUUAGAGAUAAUACAACCAGAUCCGUUCAUAA